CCUACGGGUGGCAGCAGUGGGGAAUAUUGCACAAUGGGCGAAACCCUGAUGCAGCGACGCCGCGUGAGUGAAGAAGUAAUUCGUUAUGUAAAGCUCUAUCAGCAGGGAAGAAAAUGACGGUACCUGAGUCAGAAGCCCCGGCUAACUACGUGCCAGCAGCCGCGGUAAUACGUAGGGGGCAAGCGUUAUCCGGAUUUACUGGGUGUAAAGGGAGCGUAGACGGCAGUGCAAGUCUGGAGUGAAAGGCGGGGGCUCAACCCCCGGACUGCUCUGGAAACUGUACGGCUGGAGUGCAGGAGAGGGAAGUGGAAUUCCUGGUGUAGCGGUGAAAUGCGUAGAUAUUAGGAGGAACACCAGUGGCGAAGGCGGCUUACUGGACUGUAACUGACGUUGAGGCUCGAAAGCGUGGGGAGCAAACAGGAUUAGAUACCCCAGUAGUC
rnacentral:rRNA from 1 species